AAAAGGGUGGCCCAAUUCACAAUGGACUUUUAAUCAACUGCUAUAGUGAUCAAGCCUGAUAAAUACUCACCAAUUUGUAAAUUUAUUUGGACGACUUUUUUUGUUCAAACUUGCACCUCUCUUUCUUCCUUUUACUCCCUUUAACACGUGUGCAUGCAGCAUGUAAACACACAAUUCUAUGCUCCAUUCCCUGCCGAUUGUGCAUUCACAGUAUCAAAAGUUAUACAUUUUGUGGCUCAUGACUUUCUUUCUCUUACAGCUUACAGUUUCUUUCCUUUCUUACUUUUAGGCAGUUCCUUUUAAUGAAAAAAAAAAUCUUGUUAUUUUUGAAAAUUCAAAUGCUAAACCCCUUCUCUUAAUCAAGUCCAAACUUCUCCCAUAUCUAAGGGUAUUUUCCCAGUUUUUAUGGAAAUUCACAAUUUUGAAGAAAUGCGAUAGUUUCGGUUUUAUAUUAGACACAUCGAUUUUAACCUUGAGCUGACCCCGUUUAGUUGGGAUAAGAUUUAGAUGAUGACAACAGAGAUUUGAACCUAACUUGUCACAGGUUUGCUGACACAUACAUCCAAUCAAUGUUUCAAACACAUUUGAUCAAUUUUUAGCUUUGUUCUCUGCAAAGAGAUAGGGAACCUACUUUGAUUUUUGUUUAUACUUACCUGAACGGGUGCUAUUUUGAAUUUUGUUUUGACUUUUCCAAUUUCACCUAUGAAUGUUUGACGUUCUUUCUUUCAUUCUUUCUUUCCUUUGUUGUUGUUGUUGUUGUUUUGUUAAAUUGUGUUAUUGAUUUACUGGUAUGUUGUGCGGCUGGGUGAAUAGGUUUUUGUGCAGUCGGAUGUGCUGGAAGUGGCACUUGACAUGAGGAAUCAAUUUGAUGCCCGGCCUGAUGAAUUUGAACACAUGGAUGCUCUUGAUCCCAAUAUUCUAUGUGACCCCGAAGGAUGGCUCUUAAGCAACCCACUGGGAAUUCGAACUGAAAGAGAGAUACAUGCACAGUCGGAAGGGGCAAAAAUAUACAGAAGGAUGUACCAGAAGCGAACACCAUAAAAAUGAGUGAGGGAGACUGCCUGUGGGAUCUCUGCUGCACUUUUGCUUCUCCUGAUCUUUGUCCCAUUUUACUGACAUUCCUGCCAAAGUAGCACAAGCAAGAUGCAGGGCAUUCGUCAAUAUGCCGUGCCCUGUAAUUCAGGCUAGUCCACUCAUUAAGUAGCGUACAUGUGCAUUGAACAUUCACCUUUGAUUUUUUUUUUUUGAAAAAAAAUCUAACUGUCCAUUUUUCUCAUAAAUGAGUGGUCCAUCUGAUGAGUUUAUCGAGAAUCAUUGUCCAGGUAAGCAUGGGCUUAAGUACCUUUUUAGAAAGUUUGCUAUGAUUGGUAUUUUUGUGCUUCAAAAAAUCAGGAAGUUUCUUAUUUUGAUUCAAGCUAGGAAAGCAAGUACAAACCGAUUAGGAAAGUAAGAGUGUUGGGGUCAAAUAAGGGAAUAGGAGUUUCUAUAAAAAAAGCUGAAGCGGUGUAUGUAUGGAGUAGUUUUACAAGAAAUACAAAAAGGAGAAAAAGACUGUCCCUC